AUGGGAUGGGAGCAAAGCCCAGGCUGGUGCCCUCCAUUUGGGGUGCUGGGGGGGUCCCAGGGAAAAUCUGGGGGCGCACGGAGGGCAGGAGGUGGCCAAAGCCUCUGCACGAGGGAGCCUGAGCUGGGGCUCGGUGGCUGGGAUGGAAAAUGCUGGGGACAGGGUGCUCGGGGCUGGCUGUGCCCCAGGAGCUGGGGACAACUGGGAGCAGGGGGCAGGGAGCAGGGAGGGCUGCGGAGCACCUGCGUCUGCCAAAAAUUUGGCCAAAGCCCAGGGCAAUUAGCUGCUGGCUUGGCGCUGGAGCAAACAAGAGGCUGGGAUGGCACGGCCACGCUUCGGAGAGCUCCGUGCUGCAGGAUGGGACCCGGCAGGGCUGGGGUGACCCCAAAACCCAGCCUCCAUCCCCAGGAGCCUCCAUCCCCAGGAGCCUCCAUCCCCACGCAGCAGCCACCCGUGGGUGCCCUCUCCUGGCCGCAUCCCACACGCAGAGUUUUCACCCAAUAUAUUCUAUUUUUUUCCCCUAUUUUUGUGCUGACUCUGCUCCAGGCACGGUGGUGCCCAUCCUGCUCGGAGCUGAGGGCGCUGCUGGCUCCCAGCCCUUUUUUUAGGACUCCCAGGGGUGACCUCACCUGGCCCAGGAGCUGCAAUUCCUGCACCGAGCUCCCUCGCUGGAACAACCUGGCCCCGUUUAUGGGCUUUACACCACUCCUGGAGCUGCUCCUCGCUGCGAAACCACGGCGAGCUCGGCUCUUCUGGCAGGAAAAACGAGCAGCUGCUGGUGCUGGCACUGUCCCCGCGCUGUCACAGCUCUGCCAAGGCGCUGCACAAAGCCACAGAGCCCCUCCUGGACGACGUGCCAAGUAUGUCAAAUCGCCCGAUGGUGGACACGAAGAUGACGAGUUACAAAACCUCAGCCGUGUUUUAGCCAAGACCCAGAGGCUCGGCCCCAACGCCGCCGGGAUCCUCGCCGUGUGCUCAGUGAAACCUGGCUCCUGGAGCUGGUUCACACCCGCCCCAAAGCCCUCGCUGCUGCAGAAGCUGCAGGGAAGGCUGGCAAAGGGCUGCUGUGCUGAAACAUGCCCCAUACAAUGA
rnacentral:lncRNA from 1 species